CUUCAAUAAGUUUGACCUCAAAUCAGGUAGGACUACCCGCUGAACUUAAGCAUAUCAAUAAGCGGAGGAAAAGAAACCAACAGGGAUUGCCUCAGUAACGGCGAGUGAAGCGGCAAAAGCUCAAAUUUGAAAUCUGGUACCUCUGGUGCCCGAGUUGUAAUUUGAAGAUAGUUUUCUGGUAUUGGGCCCUUGUCUAUGUUCCUUGGAACAGGACGUCAUAGAGGGUGAGAAUCCCGUCUGGCGGGGCGCCCUUUGCUAUGUAGAUUUCUAUCGACGAGUCGAGUUGUUUGGGAAUGCAGCUCUAAGUGGGUGGUAAAUUCCAUCUAAAGCUAAAUAUUGGCGAGAGACCGAUAGCGAACAAGUACAGUGAUGGAAAGAUGAAAAGAACUUUGAAAAGAGAGUGAAAAAGUACGUGAAAUUGUUGAAAGGGAAGGAUAUUGGAUCAGACUUGGUGUUGCAUGAUUAUCUUCCCCUUGUGGGUUGUGCACUCGUGCUUCACUGGGCCAGCAUCGGUUCGGACGGCAAGAUAAUGACAUUGGGAACGUGGCUCUUUCUUCGGUUAGAGUGUUAUAGCCCAUGUUGAUGUUGCCUGCCUGGACCGAGGACUGCG
rnacentral:rRNA from 1 species